GUUAGCGACUAAGCGUACACGGUGGAUGCCCUGGCAGUCAGAGGCGAUGAAGGACGUGCUAAUCUGCGAUAAGCGUCGGUAAGGUGAUACGAACCGUUAUAACCCGGCGAUUUCCGAAUGGGGAACCCAGUGUGAUUCGUCACACUAUCAUUAACUGAAUCCAUAGGUUAAUGAGGCGAACCGGGGGAACUGAAACAUCUAAGUACCCCGAGGAAAAGAAAUCAACCGAGAUUUCCCCCAGUAGCGGCGAGCGAACGGGGAGCAGCCCAGAGCCUGAAUCAGUGUGUGUGUUAGUGGAAGCGUCUGGAAAGGCGUGCGAUACAGGGUGACAGCCCCGUACACAAAAAUGUACAUACUGUGAGCUCGAUGAGUAGGGCGGGACACGUGGUAUCCUGUCUGAAUAUGGGGGGACCAUCCUCCAAGGCUAAAUACUCCUGACUGACCGAUAGUGAACCAGUACCGUGAGGGAAAGGCGAAAAGAACCCCGGCGAGGGGAGUGAAAAAGAACCUGAAACCGUGUACGUACAAGCAGUGGGAGCACGCUUAGGCGUGUGACUGCGUACCUUUUGUAUAAUGGGUCAGCGACUUAUAUUCUGUAGCAAGGUUAACCGAAUAGGGGAGCCGAAGGGAAACCGAGUCUUAACUGGGCGUUAAGUUGCAGGGUAUAGACCCGAAACCCGGUGAUCUAGCCAUGGGCAGGUUGAAGGUUGGGUAACACUAACUGGAGGACCGAACCGACUAAUGUUGAAAAAUUAGCGGAUGACUUGUGGCUGGGGGUGAAAGGCCAAUCAAACCGGGAGAUAGCUGGUUCUCCCCGAAAGCUAUUUAGGUAGCGCCUCGUGAAUUCAUCUCCGGGGGUAGAGCACUGUUUCGGCAAGGGGGUCAUCCCGACUUACCAACCCGAUGCAAACUGCGAAUACCGGAGAAUGUUAUUACGGGAGACACACGGCGGGUGCUAACGUCCGUCGUGAAGAGGGAAACAACCCAGACCGCCAGCUAAGGUCCCAAAGUCAUGGUUAAGUGGGAAACGAUGUGGGAAGGCCCAGACAGCCAGGAUGUUGGCUUAGAAGCAGCCAUCAUUUAAAGAAAGCGUAAUAGCUCACUGGUCGAGUCGGCCUGCGCGGAAGAUGUAACGGGGCUAAACCAUGCACCGAAGCUGCGGCAGCGACGCUUAUGCGUUGUUGGGUAGGGGAGCGUUCUGUAAGCCUGUGAAGGUGUGCUGUGAGGUAUGCUGGAGGUAUCAGAAGUGCGAAUGCUGACAUAAGUAACGAUAAAGCGGGUGAAAAGCCCGCUCGCCGGAAGACCAAGGGUUCCUGUCCAACGUUAAUCGGGGCAGGGUGAGUCGACCCCUAAGGCGAGGCCGAAAGGCGUAGUCGAUGGGAAACAGGUUAAUAUUCCUGUACUUGGUGUUACUGCGAAGGGGGGACGGAGAAGGCUAUGUUGGCCGGGCGACGGUUGUCCCGGUUUAAGCGUGUAGGCUGGUUUUCCAGGCAAAUCCGGAAAAUCAAGGCCGAGGCGUGAUGACGAGGCACUACGGUGCUGAAGCAACAAAUGCCCUGCUUCCAGGAAAAGCCUCUAAGCAUCAGGUAACAUCAAAUCGUACCCCAAACCGACACAGGUGGUCAGGUAGAGAAUACCAAGGCGCUUGAGAGAACUCGGGUGAAGGAACUAGGCAAAAUGGUGCCGUAACUUCGGGAGAAGGCACGCUGAUACGUAGGUGAAGCGACUUGCUCGUGGAGCUGAAAUCAGUCGAAGAUACCAGCUGGCUGCAACUGUUUAUUAAAAACACAGCACUGUGCAAACACGAAAGUGGACGUAUACGGUGUGACGCCUGCCCGGUGCCGGAAGGUUAUUGAUGGGGUUAGCGCAAGCGAAGCUCUUGAUCGAAGCCCCGGUAAACGGCGGCCGUAACUAUAACGGUCCUAAGGUAGCGAAAUUCCUUGUCGGGUAAGUUCCGACCUGCACGAAUGGCGUAAUGAUGGCCAGGCUGUCUCCACCCGAGACUCAGUGAAAUUGAACUCGCUGUGAAGAUGCAGUGUACCCGCGGCAAGACGGAAAGACCCCGUGAACCUUUACUAUAGCUUGACACUGAACAUUGAGCCUUGAUGUGUAGGAUAGGUGGGAGGCUUUGAAGUGUGGACGCCAGUCUGCAUGGAGCCGACCUUGAAAUACCACCCUUUAAUGUUUGAUGUUCUAACGUGGACCCGUGAUCCGGGUUGCGGACAGUGUCUGGUGGGUAGUUUGACUGGGGCGGUCUCCUCCUAAAGAGUAACGGAGGAGCACGAAGGUUGGCUAAUCCUGGUCGGACAUCAGGAGGUUAGUGCAAUGGCAUAAGCCAGCUUGACUGCGAGCGUGACGGCGCGAGCAGGUGCGAAAGCAGGUCAUAGUGAUCCGGUGGUUCUGAAUGGAAGGGCCAUCGCUCAACGGAUAAAAGGUACUCCGGGGAUAACAGGCUGAUACCGCCCAAGAGUUCAUAUCGACGGCGGUGUUUGGCACCUCGAUGUCGGCUCAUCACAUCCUGGGGCUGAAGUAGGUCCCAAGGGUAUGGCUGUUCGCCAUUUAAAGUGGUACGCGAGCUGGGUUUAGAACGUCGUGAGACAGUUCGGUCCCUAUCUGCCGUGGGCGCUGGAGAACUGAGGGGGGCUGCUCCUAGUACGAGAGGACCGGAGUGGACGCAUCACUGGUGUUCGGGUUGUCAUGCCAAUGGCACUGCCCGGUAGCUAAAUGCGGAAGAGAUAAGUGCUGAAAGCAUCUAAGCACGAAACUUGCCCCGAGAUGAGUUCUCCCUGACCCUUUAAGGGUCCUGAAGGAACGUUGAAGACGACGACGUUGAUAGGCCGGGUGUGUAAGCGCAGCGAUGCGUUGAGCUAACCGGUACUAAUGAACCGUGAGGCUUAACCUU
rnacentral:rRNA from 1 species